UACGUAGGUGGCAAGCGUUGUUCGGAAUUACUGGGCGUAAAGGGCGCGUAGGCGGCCUGUUAAGUCGAACGUGAAAUCCCCGGGCUCAACCCGGGAACUGCGUCCGAUACUGGCAGGCUUGAAUCCGGGAGAGGGAUGCGGAAUUCCAGGUGUAGCGGUGAAAUGCGUAGAGAUGGGGGAGAACACUCGUGGCGAAGGCGGCCAGCUAGACCAGUUCUGACACUGAGGCGCGACAGCGUGGGGAGCAAACAGG
rnacentral:rRNA from 1 species